AGGGCUGGCAACAGAGCAAGCAAUUCGCGCCACGUGAAGU
rnacentral:SRP_RNA from 13 species